rnacentral:rRNA from 1 species
GGGGAAUUUUGGACAAUGGGCGCAAGCCUGAUCCAGCAAAGCCGCGUGAGUGAAGAAGGCCUUCGGGUUGUAAAGCUCUUUUGUCAGGGAAGAAACGGUGGGGGCUAAUAUCCUACACUAAUGACGGUACCUGAAGAAUACGCACCGGCUAACUACGUGCCAGCAGCCGCGGUAAUACGUAGGGUGCAAGCGUUAAUCGGAAUUACUGGGCGUAAAGCGUGCGCAGGCGGUUUGGUAAGUCUGUCGUGAAAGCCCCGGGCUCAACCUGGGAAUUGCGAUGGAGACUGCAGGGCUUGAAUCUGGCAGAGGGGGGUAGAAUUCCACGUGUAGCAGUGAAAUGCGUAGAGAUGUGGAGGAACACCGAUGGCGAAGGCAGCCCCCUGGGUCAAGAUUGACGCUCAUGCACGAAAGCGUGGGGAGCAAAC